AGAGAAGCUGCCGCAGAUUACAGAGGCUGUGCAGCGUGUGUGCAGUGACCCCAGGACCCGGGUGAGGAGGGCCGUGCUGCACUUCAUUGAGGAUCUGCUCAGCACUAACGCCUGGAGCUGCUCAGCCUGGGAUGUGGUGGGGCACAUCUUCAGGGAGUUCAGCCGCACCACGGGAAGAAGGGCAGCCGGAGACCUUUCCACCCAGGAAGCCCAGGAAGAGGGAG